GCCUGGGUGGUUUAGUCGGUUAAGCCUCCGACUUCGGCUUGGGUCAUGAUCUCAUGUGAUGUGGGUUCGAGCCCCACAUCAGGCU
rnacentral:tRNA from 1 species